rnacentral:rRNA from 1 species
UGGGGAUUAUUGCACAAUGGGCGCAAGCCUGAUGCAGCCAUGCCGCGUGUAUGAAGAAGGCCUUCGGGUUGUAAAGUACUUUCAGCGGGGAGGAAGGGAGUAAAGUUAAUACCUUUGCUCAUUGACGUUACCCGCAGAAGAAGCACCGGCUAACUCCGUGCCAGCAGCCGCGGUAAUAAGGAGGGUGCAAGCGUUAAUCGGAAUUACUGGGCGUAAAGCGCACGCAGGCGGUUUGUUAAGUCAGAUGUGAAAUCCUCGGGCUCAACCUGGGAACUGCAUCUGAUACUGGCAAGCUUGAGUCUCGUAGAGGGGGGUAGUAUUCCAGGUGUGGCGGUGAAAUGCUUAGGGAUCUGGAGGAAUACCGGUGGCGAAGGCGGCCCCCUGGACGAAGACUGACGCUCAGGUGCGAAAGCGUGGGGAGCAAACAGG